rnacentral:rRNA from 1 species
UUCCGGUUGAUCCUGCCGGACCUGACUGCUAUCGGAUUGAUACUAAGCCAUGCGAGUCUUUGUAGCAAUACAAGGCAGACGGCUCAGUAACGCGUAGUCAACCUAACCUAUGGAUGGGAAUAACCUCGGGAAACUGAGAAUAAUGCCCAAUAGAACACUAUACCUGGAAUGGUUUGUGUUCCAAAUGAUUUAUCGCCGUAGGAUGGGACUGCGGCCUAUCAGUUUGUUGGUGAGGUAAUGGCCCACCAAGACUAUUACAGGUACGGGCUCUGAGAGGAGUAGCCCGGAGAUGGGUACUGAGACACGGAUCCAGGCCCUAUGGGGCGCAGCAGGCGAGAAAACUUUGCAAUGUGCGAAAGCACGACAAGGUUAAUCCGAGUGAUUUGUGCUAAACGAAUCUUUUGUUAGUCCUAGAAACACUAACGAAUAAGGGGUGGGCAAGUUCUGGUGUCAGCCGCCGCGGUAAAACCAGCACCUCAAGUGGUCAGGAUGAUUAUUGGGCCUAAAGCAUCCGUAGCCGGCUCUGUAAGUUUUCGGUUAAAUCUGUACGCUCAACGUACAGGCUGCCGGGAAUACUGCAGAGCUAGGGAGUGGGAGAGGUAGACGGUACUCGGUAGGAAGGGGUAAAAUCCUUUGAUCUAUUGAUGACCACCU